rnacentral:rRNA from 1 species
GACGAACGCUGGCGGCGUGCUUAACACAUGCAAGUCGAACGGUGAAGGGGCCUGCUUUUGUGGGCCCUGGAUGAGUGGCGAACGGGUGAGUAACACGUGAGUAACCUGCCCCCUUCUUCUGGAUAACCGCAUGAAAGUGUGGCUAAUACGGGAUAUUCUGGGUCUGUCGCAUGAUGGGUCUGGGGAAGAUUGCGCCUUUGGGUGUUUUUGGUGGGGGAUGGGCUCGCGGCCUAUCAGCUUGUUGGUGGGGUGAUGGCCUACCAAGGCGGUGACGGGUAGCCGGCCUGAGAGGGUGGACGGUCACACUGGGACUGAGACACGGCCCAGACUCCUACGGGAGGCAGCAGUGGGGAAUAUUGCACAAUGGGCGCAAGCCUGAUGCAGCGACGCCGCGUGAGGGAUGGAGGCCUUCGGGUUGUAAACCUCUUUCGCCAGUGAAGCAGGCCUGCUCCUUGUGGGUGGGUUGACGGUAGCUGGAUAAGAAGCGCCGGCUAACUACGUG